AAAAAGAGGGGGUGGGCUUUAGGACACAAGGAUGGGUGCCGUGCAUCCUGCUCAGAAGGGAGCGUCCCAGUCUCAUCUGCUAUGAAGUCACCUAUGCUGCCUCCCUCCUCUGGAAGCCACCUGGAGCAGACCCCCAACCCCCACUGCUGUGAAACUCUGUUUUUGUAACGUUGGUUUUGCAUUUCCCAGGCACUCUACUCUGCCCAUCAUGUCAGCUACGUAAACUGUUGACAAAGCUGUGGCAAAUCAAUCAGUCAUUAUUGAUCCUGGAAAAAUGUCUUGUGAAAGACCAAACUCAAGCAAGCUGGGUGUGCCGGCACGCGUCUGUGAUCGAAGCACUUGGGAAGCUGAGGCAAGAGAAUCUCAAGCUUGAGCUUUUGUGUAGUGAGUUCCUGGCCAGACUGAGCUGCAUAGCAUGACAUGAGACCCUGACUUCAGAAUGAAAUCAAAGUAUACCGGAAAGCCACACCUCUGACAGUUGAUAGAUGCUUUGAUCUUGUAUUGGCUGAUCACCUGCAGUUCUCCUCGAACAUUAGAAAGUCAUCAAGGGAGUUUCCCUUGUCUGAAAUGUUGACCUCUAAUGCAGUACUGCUGAGCACAGUGACAGUCUGUUCCCUUACCCUUUUGAGACCUCCUCUUUGUCCUGGUUCUUUGUUGACAGAUAACAGUCACUGUCACAAUCUUUCUCAGUUUUGUUUUGUGUCUGAACUUCAAACCUAAUUCAUUCAGAACUUCUCCUUAGAUCCAUUCAUAAAUCAAAACAUCUGCCUAAUAAUAAUUGAAGAAUAAUAGUUCAAUGAAUAAUAAUUGACAGAUUCCAGUGUUUUUGUCUACAUUAUUUAAAUUUAGCCAUCACAACAAUUUAUUAAAUUGAAAUCAG
rnacentral:lncRNA from 1 species